AUUGAACGCUGGCGGCAGGCCUAACACAUGCAAGUCGAACGGUAGCACAGAGAGCUUGCUCUCGGGUGACGAGUGGCGGACGGGUGAGUAAUGUCUGGGAAACUGCCCGAUGGAGGGGGAUAACUACUGGAAACGGUAGCUAAUACCGCAUAACGUCGCAAGACCAAAGUGGGGGACCUUCGGGCCUCACACCAUCGGAUGUGCCCAGAUGGGAUUAGCUAGUAGGUGGGGUAAUGGCUCACCUAGGCGACGAUCCCUAGCUGGUCUGAGAGGAUGACCAGCCACACUGGAACUGAGACACGGUCCAGACUCCUACGGGAGGCAGCAGUGGGGAAUAUUGCACAAUGGGCGCAAGCCUGAUGCAGCCAUGCCGCGUGUAUGAAGAAGGCCUUCGGGUUGUAAAGUACUUUCAGCGGGGAGGAAGGCGGUGAAGUUAAUAGCUUCACCGAUUGACGUUACCCGCAGAAGAAGCACCGGCUAACUCCGUGCCAGCAGCCGCCGCAG
rnacentral:rRNA from 1 species